rnacentral:rRNA from 2 species
GUUGACCUCGGAUCAGGUAGGGAUACCCGCUGAACUUAAGCAUAUCAAUAAAGCGGAGGAAA